ensembl:snoRNA
CUUCAGUGAUGAUCUCGCUUUAGUGCCAUUGUGUCUGGGCCACUGAUAACUAGUGAUGGAUCUGAGGAUCUGAGAAG